CGCUUUAGGGCGGGUGGUGGUGGGUGGUGUGUGAGGAGGGGUCGUGUUGGUGCUCCUCUGAGAGGGUGAGGGGGGUUUGGGCCCGGAGUGGGUUAGGAGUUUAAUAUCUUUUCUCUGCUGCUGGAGGAGCUCGGUGCUGAGGGUGGCUAUGUGUUAGCUGCUGUUGGGCCAGGCAGGGGUGCUGUGGUUUCUGUAGGAGGCUUGGGUGUGAAGCUCCUGCCCCCUUUGUGCUUGGGGGGCUCCAUCCUGCUGUGUCCGCCCAGGCUUCUUCAGCCGGCUGAGGGGACCUGUGGGGGCAGCUCAUGGCAGCCAUCAGCCCCCAACACCUCUGAGCUCCCUGUGGUGGUGGUGAGGCUGCUGCUGGUGUCUGGGGAGAGCUUCCUGCAGCCAGGCUCCCCCAAGGGGACUGGGUGCUGUGAGCCUCAACCUGUGCCUCAUUCUCCUUCCUUCUUCCUCUGGCUGAGUUUCCCCCUCAGCUAACUCUGCCUGGCCUUUCUGUGGACUGCCUGGUGUCUGUCGGUGAAGGAACUGCUCGAACCUCCUCCAGUAGGUGAGGCUCUGGGACUAGCACCUUCUGGGAAUUGAAAAGCAGGAGUUAACAUUUAAUACAGUGACAGCUUGUUGCUGGUGUUUGGCUGGCAGUGACUGUGUGGGGCCUGGGGAUGGUUUGUUCAUUAGGGUGCCCGGUACACGUCUACCUCUGACACCACAGGUACAUCGAGACUGAAAUCCAUUUGUCUUAAGUGUGUAGGGAAAUUACAUAUGUGGUUUGGACACCACCUUAGUGGGGCUCAAACAGCAACCUGUUCCAGAAAGGAUCUAUCACAUUCCUUUCUGCCAUUUCUUUUAUUCCUACUCUCUGACCGAGGACCUCGUGGUGUGCUGCUUUUUUCCUGCUCCAGCAGGAAGUCUGGUCUUUGUUCUGGGCCUGGUUUACAGAAUGCUGCCAGGUGCUCUGACUGCAGUAUGUGUGUUCGUAGAGCUGUAUCACCUUGCCCAAGGCAGAGCUCUUUGGAUUUGGUUGGGUCUGUGGCUCCAGGUCAGGUUUUCACUGUUAAAGUAGGCUUGUGCUAAUCAGAGUGCUUCUGGAGCUUGAUAAGGGCAGAGCUGCCUCCUCCCUCAGAAUGGUGAAUAGCUUUUAACAGAUUGAGAGCUCUGCUUGGAAUGGAGAUGAUUGCCAACAAGCCCUGCUACUGGCUAUGAGGAUCCUUAAUCUAGCUCCCUCUCUGUGGGAUCCUUCUGGCUUCUUCACAGGAAGGUGAUUUAUUACUUGAACCUGAAGGUUUAUCUUGCGUCUGUACCAGGGAAUGUCUAUGCAGAAGUCCAUACCUCCUGGAAACCCCUGGCUGGUGCUUGGGCAUGACGGUUUCUAACAGCAAAACGUUUGGAAGAGCUCUAAUGAGUUAUACCGUGAGAAAGUGCACCCUGCAAAAGCCACAUCCCUGAAGGACCGGAGCAGGGUGUUCAGUAUGUGCUGGGACAUCAGGAAGGGAAAGAGCACGCUGACCAUGCCCUGCUGCUGGCUGCGAGGCUCACACAAAUUGAACGGUACAGCUCAUCAGCAACCUUCCCGUGCUAGCCAGCAGCAGUGGUACGAAGCAUGGCUUAAUUAUAACCCUGAAAGAAAAAGGAUUUCUUCAUGAGAUGUUGCUUCACGGCUGCUGGUGGCAGAGCUCCGCACGAGCCGAGUCGUGCUGGUUUGGCAGGUAGGUGUGGUGGUGAUGUGCACGCGUGGCUGGGCAGUGGGCUCUGAGUCAGAAGCUCCUGGUGACGUUGCUAAAUUCAGCGUACCACAGAGGUCUUUUUCUACUUCACACUGGAGCUGCUUUGAUGCAGCCUUUCUACAUUCAGAAAUAUGGCUCAGACCCAGCUCUUGUGAGUCACAGGUAUUCAUUCUUACUUGCCUUUUGCCAAAGCCUAACGAAAAAGUGCUGUCCAUGUUACAUGUCUGUGGUCUGGUUUCCACCAUGCUCAUCUUCUGGCAGCAGUUAGGUGACAACAAUUAAAUAUCAAGGCAGCCUGUCUUCCUAGCCAUGAUGCAGUGCUUUAUUUCUGCCUCUGUGGGGAUAGUCUGGAUGUCAGAUGACUUCCAGCUACGUAACCUGGGCCCCAGAAGGCAAAGGCAGGGGCUGAAAGAAUGAAGAACUGCCCACUGUAGGAGAAGAUCUGUCGGAGACCAUCUAAGGGACCUGAAGUCCAUGGGACCUGAUGAGAUAGACCUGUAAGUCCUGAGGGAACUGGUAGAUGUAGCUGCUAAGCCUCUCUCUGUCACAUUUAAGAAGCUGUGGCAGUCUGGUGAAGUUCCCGGGGGGACUUGAAGGGACUGGAAGAGGGGAAACACAAUCCCCAUUUUAAAAAGGGAGAAAAAAGAAGACCCAGGGAACUACAGGCCAGUCUCACCUCUGUGCCCAGCAAGGUCAUGGAGCAGAUCCUCCUGGAAACUCUGCUGAGGUCCAUGGAAAAUAAGGAGGUGACUGGAGACAGCCAACAGGGCUUCACUAAGGGCAGAUUCGUGCCUGAAAAAUCUGGUGGCCUUCUGCGAUGGGGUUAGGGCAUUCACGGGUAAGGGAAGAGCAGCUGAUGUGGCCGACCUGGUCUUGUAGGAAGCAUUUGACACUGUCCCCCCAUGAUAUCCUUGUCUUUGAACUGGAGAGACGUGGAUUUGAUGGAUGGACCAGUCAGUGGGUAAUGUGGUCAGCGCACUGGAGGGAAGGGAUGUCAUCCAGAGGGAUCUGGAUAGGCUCGGGAGGUGGGCCCGGGUGAAACUCAUGAGGUUCUGCAAGGCCAAGUGCAAGGUCCUGCACCUGGGCUGGGGCAGUGCCGAGCACAAACACAGGCUGGGUGACGAGACAGAGAGCAGCCUUGGAGAGAAGGAUUUAUGAAGGCAGGCUGAGAGAGCUGGGGCUGUUCAACCUGGAGAAUGGAAAGCCCUGGGGAGACCUGAUAGUGGCCUUCCAGUGCCUAAAGGGGGCUGCAGGAAAGCUGGGGAGGCACUUUGUCAGGGAGUGUGGUGAUAGGACAAGGGUAAUGGCUUCCAACUAAAAGAGGAGAGAUUUAGAUGAGACAAGCGAGGAAGUAAUACCAAAUGCCAUACGAACCAAUCUUUUUUCUCAGCACAGAAUCAUCCAGGUUGGAAGAGACCUCCAAGAUCACAGAGUCCAGCCUCUGACCUGACACUAACAAAUCCUACUCAACUUUCCCCAGGGUACUGGUUCUAUCCUCAGUCUUGCCUGCACAAGGUUCUGAGAUGGUUUGAGUUGAUGAUAAAUCUUGUAUGCCUUGUACAGCAGUGACUGAUUCACAUCAGCUCACUUGAUCACUUAUUCCAGGGAAGUACCACGUCAAUUUGCCAGCAUUCUGUCCCUGACACAAUAAAAUGCUUGUGAAUUCAAAGCUUUUGGAACUCAGAAUGGAAUUUUCCUCUAAAAUUGUGCAUGUUGAAAUAUGGGAAUCAUACAGAGAAUUGCUAGACUAUUUGAUAUGAGAAGAGUUUAAAAUUAAUCACUCAGUUCAAACAGAAAACUUUAUUUUGGGCAACUCAGUUCAGACCAAUGUAUAGUUGCAUAAAAAGUUCCCUGAGAAAAAUCGAGGCAUAAAUUUGGCAUUUUAUCACUCAAUUUCAUGCUGAGUUUCCUAGAAGAAUAUUUCAGUUUCAGUAAGUAAGAAGAGGACUGUAUCUAUCUGGAAAAAAAAAACUUUUUCAGUUAGACUUAAUGCAAUCCUUUUGUGUUCUUUUUUUUUUUUUAAAAAAAAAAAAGAAGGACAAGAAGCAGAAGAUGCAGGAGCAAAUAGUGCAAAAACAAAAGACUUGCCCCCUUGUAUAGGGGGAGAAAAGGUCUUGUAGCUAAAUGGGAAAAAGCCUUGCUUUCAGCUUUCUGAGUUUUGGAACAAGUCUCUGUGGGAUGCGCGUCACUGGGCCUCCCCAGCCUCUGCACAAUGUUGCAUUUCUUCACAAAAAUAGGUCUGGUACUGAAGCAAACGGAUAGAAAUGGGGGAGAAGAACUUGGGGUGAGGGGAUGCAAACUGGAUGCCAUCCUUCUGGUGAAUGGCUCUGGGUUAACUGCUGCCACCAGGCAACUCUACCAUGUCAGCGUGGACAAGCCCGUGUUCCAGGGCUGAAGACCCUGUGCAGUGAUACUCAGUAGUGUCCUCGAGGCUCACAUCGGUCAUUUGUAGGUACAGUGUCCCUAGAGUUGUCCCCAGAGGUGGCGAGCCAUCCUUCCACAGCCACUGAAUAAUCUGCCAUCUCACUGCGAGCACCUCUCUGUAGCCCCCCUGGGAGCAGCUCUGACCUGAACAAGGCAGAGCCCACCCAAAUUGAACUCAGAUUUUUCAGGAAAGCUUGAGAGUCCCUGGGGAUUUUCAGUUUUCUGUUCUCUGCCACAAAUUCAGCUUUAGACUGACCCCUGAGGGACAGCAAGGACCAGUGAAAUCUCACAAUGGCCUCAUAAAACUUCUUGAGAAACUGUUUUACCUGCAAAUGCCAAGGCAAAGCACUGUGCAACUUUGAGCCAAAAUAAAACUUUAUUUGGAAAUUCA